GAUGAACGCUAGCGGCAGGCUUAAUACAUGCAAGUCGUGGGGCAGCAUGAGUGUAGCAAUACAUUUGAUGGCGACCGGCAAACGGGUGCGGAACACGUACUGAACCUUCCUUUAAGUGGGGAAUAGCACAGAGAAAUUUGGAUUAAUACCCCGUAACAUAUAGAAGUGGCAUCACUUUUAUAUUAUAGCUCCGGCGCUUAAAGAUGGCAGUGCGGCUGAUUAGGUAGUUGGCGGGGUAACGGCCCACCAAGCCUGCGAUCAGUAACGGGUAUGAGAGCACGACCAGUCACACGGGCACUGAGACACGGGCCCGACUCCUACGGGAGGCAGCAGUAAGGAAUAUUGGUCAAUGGACGCAAGUCUGAACCAGCCAUGCCGCGUGGAGGAUGAAGGUCCUCUGGAUUGUAAACUUCUUUUAUCUGGGAAGAAAUCCAUGGUUUCUACUAUGGUUGACGGUACUAGAUGAAUAAGCACCGGCUAACUCCGUGCCAGCAGCCGCCGUAACAC
rnacentral:rRNA from 1 species